rnacentral:misc_RNA from 1 species
CGCAAAUCACAAUUUACGUUGUGUUGUCUUUUGUCCCACAAGCAUAAAGCGCAAGCCAACAGCAAAGAGAGAGAGAACAGACGUGUUUCAGAGAGACGUUGACGUACACAGCUCAAACAUGGGCUAGACUUCUGAGGAUCACCAAAACAUGCAUCUAAUCAGAGGAGAAAGAACCUACGGUUUCUUUUACAAAUUUUGAAGAUAGUGGUUUCUCUUUUACACUUGAAUUCUAUUCAUCAGGUACGGGGAUCGAGGCAUAAAAAGCUUUAUACUAGCCAUCUGUUUUUUAAUUGAUUGGCUUUUGAUCGAAUACAUCCGGUUCAUAGUUGGAUCAUCCUUGAUUAUUUCGAGGAUAUUAGUUUCCUGUGAUCAGAAUUAGGAAGUGGUAGUGUUCUUGGAUUGAGUCAUGGCAACUGUGUCGCUCGCAGAUUCUAAACGUAUGUAUUCCUGGUGGUGGAACAGCCACAUAAGCCCCAAAAAUUCAAGAUGGCUUCAAGAGAAUCUUUCAGAUAUGGAUGUCAAAGUCAAACAAAUGAUUAAACUUAUUGAAGAAGAUGCGGAUUCUUUUGCAAGGAGGGCAGAGAUGUAUUAUAAGAAACGCCCAGAGCUUAUGAAAUUGGUUGAAGAGUUUUACAGAGCAUAUCGUGCCUUGGCUGAAAGAUAUGAUAAUGCUACCGGAGUGCUUCGCCAGGCACAUCGAACAAUGGCAGAAGCAUUUCCCAACCAAGUCCCUGUCGUGUUGACUGAUGAUUCAUCUGUAGUUUCUGCUGAUGGUGAGCCCCGUACACCUGACAUGCCGCCAAUACGUGCACUUUUUGAUCCCGAUGAGUUGCAAAAGGAUGCUUUGGGAAUCUCUCCAUCACAUUCCCAUGCUAUCAAGAGGCAUAUAGCUUUUACCGAAGAAUCUGAUUCUGUUCCUGGGAGAAAGGUUUUGAAACAGCUCAAUGAUUUGUUUGGGACUGGAGAAGGAAGGGCAAGAAAAGGCCUCAAUUUUCAUGAUGCUGAAGAGAAAGAUCAAGUCAUGCAAAACAUUGGCAAAAGUGAUAUCAAGGCUCUAGUUCCAUCGGAGUCUGAGCGAUUGGGUAAAGCUGAGCUGGAAAUUGUAACCUUGAAGAACGCAAUUGCUAAACUAGAAGCAGAAAAGGAAGCUGGCCUACUUCAGUACCAACAGAGUUUGGAUAGAUUGUCUAAGCUGGAGUCAGAAGUCUCUUGUGCAAAAGAGGAUUCCAAGGGGCUUAAUGAACGAGCCAGCAAAGCUGAAGCCGAAGUGCAGACUUUGAAGGAAGCCCUCACUAAACUAGACGCUGAAAGGGAAGCUAGUUUUCUUCAAUACCAGCAGUGCUUGGACAAAAUAACUAAUUUGGAGAACAAUAUCUCCCAUGCCCAAAAGGAUGCUGGAGAACUCAAUGAGCGUGCUACUAAAGCUGAAAUUGAGGCUCAAUCACUUAUGCGGGAACUGGCUAAAUUAAAAGCUGAAAAAGAAGACACUUUUCUUCAGUUCAAACAGUGUCUAGAGAAGAUAUCUGAUCUGGAGGGAAAAUUAUUGCAUGCUGAGGAAGAUUCCAGGAGGUAUAAUGAACAUGCUGAUAAAGCUGAAAGGGAAGUUGAAACCUUGAAGGAAGUGCUAGCCAAGCUAACUGAAGAGAAGGAAGCUGCUGCUGUUCAGUACCAGCAGUGUUUGGAUACAAUUUCAAGUUUGGAGCAGAAACUUACUUUUGCCCAGGAGGAGGCCAAAAGGCUCAACUCUGACAUAGAUGAUGGGAUUGUGAAGUUGAAGGGUGCUGAAGAAAAGUGUCUUCUGUUGGAAAGAUCAAAUCAGACUAUGCACACUGAGUUGGAGUCUCAGGCACAGAUAAUGGCUUCUCAAAGUGAAGAACUUACAGAGAAGCAGAAGGAGUUGGGAAGACUUUGGACUUGCAUACAAGAAGAGCGCUUGCGAUUCAUGGAGGCUGAAACUGCUUUUCAAACUUUGCAGCAUUUGCACUCUCAAUCUCAGGAAGAACUCAGAUCUAUGGCUGCAGAGCUUCAGACUAGGGCUCAGAUUUUGCAGGACCUAGAAGCUCAUAAUCAUAGUUUACAAAAUGAAGUUGAACAGGCCAAGGUAGAGAACAAAGGCCUGACUGAAGUCAACUUAUCUUCAGCUUUGACAAUACAAAAUUUGCAAAGUGAGAUUUCGAGCUUAAGGGACACAAUAGGGAAACUUGAAGCUGACGUAGAACUUCGACUGGACCAAAGAAAUGCUCUUCAGCAAGAAAUUUACUGUCUGAAGGAGGAACUAAAUGAUGUUAACAAGAAACACCAGGGUAUCAUGGACCAGGUGGAAUCAGUUGGCUUCAGUCCAGAGUGCCUCGGGUCAUCUGUGAAGGGUUUGCAGGAUGAAAACAUAAAGAUCAAAGAAGUUUGUGAGAAAGAGAGAAGCCAAAAUGUAGCUCUUUUAGAAAAGUUGGAGAUCAUGGAGAAACUUAUAGAGAAAAAUGCUCUUUUGGAGAAUUCAUUAUCAGAUUUGAACGUUGAGCUAGAAGGGGUGAGAGAGAGGGUAUGGGCAUUAGAAGAAUCCUGUCAAACUCUCUUAGAAGAGAAAUCCACUCUUGUUUCUGAGAAAUCCACAUUAGUUUCUCAUUUACAGAUUGCAACUGAUAAUUUGGAGGAACUUGCGGAGAAGAAUACCAUUCUGGAGAGUUCCCUUCUCGAAGCAUAUGCUGAAGUUGAGGGAUUGAGGGAAAAAUCAAAGAGCUUACAAGAUUUAUGUGUGUUGCUUGAAAAUGAGAACUCUGAUUUAGUUACUGUGAAAGGAAAUUUAAUUUCUCGGUUGGACAUCACUCAGAAAAGAUUGGAAGACAUGCUUACAAGAUUAUCAUUCAUAUAACAUGAAAACAAACGGCUGUUGAUAAAUGAUAAGAGGUAAGGCAAAGCUAUUCUUUUUAUUUUUUUCCUUCCUCAACAGACCAUUAAGAAGUACAAACUCAUAACAGGCACAACAUUUAAGGUGGUGCAUUUUAGGACCUGCACAUGGUAAUGGGCAUUGGAAACUCCUGUGGCAGAUGGGGGUGGGCCACUGGGUUCUCCUUUACACCUGUUUGCACUUUUGCCUAGCAAAAUCAUGGCAAUUAUAGGGUUUGUUUGCUUUUUAGAAACGGUGAAAUAAGAUGGGCAUGUGCACCAUUUCAAUUGAAUCUAAACUUAACCGGAUAUAUAUAUAUGUGACGGCCCAUGAACACCGCCAAUAGGUCUAAUUUUUUAUCACUUUUUGUAUGUAAAUAUUGCAUGAUAUCCCAAAGUAAUGGGAGUAGGGUUUUGUUUGCUAAAUUUGUAUUUGAGUCAUCAAGAAGACAAGAAGCUCCAGAGAACAAAACACCACAUGGUUCUUGCUAAUUGCCUUUUCUCCAUCAACUCAUCCAUCGUUUUACAGAGCCAUCAUGAUUUCUUGUUUUUCUUUCAAUUUUUUCAGGUAGGAAUAAAUUAAUAGAGCUGGUUUGCUGAGGCCCAGGGUGGGCCCUUUUUA